AUUGAACGCUGGCGGCAGGCCUAACACAUGCAAGUCGAACGAGUGGCGGACGGGUGAGUAAUUUCUGGGAAACUGCCCGAUGGAGGGGGAUAACUACUGGAAACGGUAGCUAAUACCGAAUACCAUCGGAUGUGCCCAGAUUGGAUGAGCUUGUAGGUGAGGUAACGGCUCACCUAGGCGACGAUCCCUAGCUGGUCUGAGAGGAGGACCAGCCAAGUUGGAACUGAGAUACGGUCCACACUCUGACGGGAUGCAGAAGGUGGGAAUAUUGCAAAAUGGGCGCAAUCCUGAUGCAGCCAUUCCGCGUGGAUGGAGAGUGCCUUCGGGUUGUAAAGUACUUUCAGCAGGGAGGCGUUACCCGCAGAAUAAGCACCGGCUAACGCCGUGCCAGCAGCCGCGGUAAUAC
rnacentral:rRNA from 1 species